rnacentral:rRNA from 1 species
AUGUAUGAGGAUGUGGUUCAAUGGCGUUUUACGGGGUUUUAUGGUCACCCGAAUUGGAAUGAACGCCAUCUAUCUUGGAAUGAUAUUCGCAAUCUACAUAGCAAGGGUAACCACCCCUGUUUGGUUUUGGGGGAUGUUAAUGAAAUUUUGUAUCCUUCGGAAAAGGAGGGCGGUAUGGCAAGACCACUUGGUAUGAUGAGAGAAUUCCAUGAAUGUCUAAUGGAUUGUGGUCUCGAUGAUUUAGGCUAUACAGGUGACAUUUUCACUUCGAGUAGAGGCCGUGAGCGUCUUGAUCGGGCGGUCUGUAAAUUAGCGUGGGCAAAUAAAUUCCCACAAGCAGGAGUGAUCAAUGAAGAACAUGUUUAUUCUGACCAUCGUCCAAUCGUACUAGAUAUGGAAUUUUUGGAUGGAAAAAUCUUCAAACGACCAGAGGGGCGUGUUAAACAAUUUGAGGUGAGGUGGUUAAAAGAAGAGACGGUCACUGAAAUUGUUAAGGCAUCUUGGGAGAAAGCAAAGCUUGCGGGGAUUGGACCUUCACUUGUUGAUCGUACGAGAGCAGUGCAUGCUGAUCUGCAUACUUGGGAUCGGGAAACUUUAAAAGGAUCGAAGGUGAGAAUUAGGAAAUUGAAAAAAGAAUUGGAGAAACUAAGACGUGGCCCUCUGGAUACGGAAUCUUGA